rnacentral:tRNA from 1 species
GGGGAGGUUCCAGAGUGGCCAAAUGGAUCAGACUGUAAAUCUGCUGGCGUAUGCCUUCGUGGGUUCGAAUCCUACCCUCCCCA